rnacentral:rRNA from 1 species
UACGUAGGGGGCAAGCGUUGUCCGGAUUUAUUGGGCUUAAAGAGCGCGUAGGCGGCGACGUAAGUUGGAAGUGAAAUCCCAUCGGCUCAACCGUGGAAUCGCUCCCAGUACUGCGUUGCUCGAGGGAGAUAGGGGCCUGUGGAACUGCCGGUGGAGCGGUGAAAUGUGUUGAUAUCGGCGGGAACGCCAGUGGCGAAAGCGACAGGCUGGACCUUUUCUGACGCUGAGGCGCGAAAGCUAGGGGAGCAAACGGG